rnacentral:rRNA from 1 species
AACGAACGCUGGCGGCAUGCCUAACACAUGCAAGUCGAACGAGACCUCCGGGUCUAGUGGCGCACGGGUGCGUAACGCGUGGGAACCUGCCCUUGGGUUCGGAAUAACUCCCCGAAAGGGGUGCUAAUACCGGAUAAUGUCUUCGGACCAAAGAUUUAUCGCCUUUGGAUGGGCCCGCGUUGGAUUAGCUAGUUGGUAGGGUAAAAGCCUACCAAGGCGACGAUCCAUAGCUGGUCUGAGAGGAUGAUCAGCCACACUGGGACUGAGACACGGCCCAGACUCCUACGGGAGGCAGCAGUGGGGAAUAUUGGACAAUGGGCGAAAGCCUGAUCCAGCAAUGCCGCGUGAGUGAUGAAGGCCUUAGGGUUGUAAAGCUCUUUUACCCGGGAUGAUAAUGACAGUACCGGGAGAAUAAGCUCCGGCUAACUCCGUG